UUUAGUUUGAAUCCCCGAAACUAGGUGAGCUACUUCGAAACAGUUUUAUGAACGAACCCGUCUCUGUCGCAAAAGAGUGGGAUGAUUUCUAAGUAGAGGCGACAAACCUACCGCACCUGGAGAUAGCUGGUUACUCAAGAAAAGAAUUUAAGUUCAACCUAAAGUUUUUUAAUUACACAAAACAAAACAUAAGACUUUAGAGCUACUCAAGUAAGGCACAGCUUACUUGAAUAAGGAUACAACCUACAACACAGGGUAAUGCUCGUAAACAAGUAAUCAGUGGGCCUAAGAGCAGCCACCUAC
rnacentral:rRNA from 1 species